GUGUUCCUACGGGAGGCAGCAGUGAGGAAUAUUGGUCAAUGGACGCAAGUCUGAACCAGCCGAGUAGCGUGCAGGAUGACGGCCCUCCGGGUUGUAAACUGCUUUUAGUUGGGAAUAAAAGGGGGCUCGUGAGCCCCGUAUUGUAUGUACCAUCAGAAAAAGGACCGGCUAAUUCCGUGCCAGCAGCCGCGGUAAUACGGAAGGUCCGGGCGUUAUCCGGAUUUAUUGGGUUUAAAGGGUGCGUAGGCGGAUCGUUAAGUCAGUGGUCAAAUUGAGGGGCUCAACCCCUUCCCGCCA
rnacentral:rRNA from 1 species